CGCCGAACAUAUCCCGCCUCUAAUCCUCCCAAAAUCUAACGUCCCUCCAACUCUACACAACGCCAUGUUUUUUUUCCUUUGGCACUGCACAACGAUUCAAAAAGCUUUCCUUUUUCUUUGUGGGAUUUUCAUUCUUGGAAUUUUUGUGAGUGUUUCUGUUCUCUCCUACGAUUGCUGUAGGAUCCGUCUGCCCAAUUGCCACUGCAAUCAGGCCUUUUAUCCCUAUCGGUUAUAUCCGGUGGAGGCGCAUGCUGAUUGUGGCGGAGGAUGAACGGUGAUUCGUUGAAUUUCUGAUUUACCGACUUUUUUCCGUGGCUGUGCUCUUUUCUCUCCAUCGCGUUUUCUGUAGGUUAUUUUUCUCUCAAUUACCAAGGCAACAGCCAAUUAUAUUAGACUAUAGGAGAUGUUGCAUGGUUAGUUGUGGCGGUGGAUAGGAUUGGUGAAUCGGUGGAUUCUGGUAUGGUGUUUGAUGAUCUAUUAUGCUACUUUCAGUCUGGUAAGGUGUUUUAUGAUAUAUUUUGCUACUUUCAGUCUGGUAUGAGGUUUGAUCAUCUGUUCUGCUAAUUUCAGUCUGGUAUGGUGUUUUACUGA